AUGUGAGAUAAACUCGAAGACAUUUGACAAAACGACCGACCUAUACUUUUCCACAAAACAUCCAUGUCAUGGAAGACAAAGAAGCAUGUGACCUGGGACUCUCUUUGCUGACAUCAUGGAGACCAUUUGUGAGAUCUGAAUAAGGUGAAAAUCAAGACCAUUCAUAAACGAGAAGCCCACAGAAGAACGUGAAGGUCACGAAGAGUGUGCCCUGAGUCUUUUUCCUCCAGUUGCACGCUGUUAAGGGGGCCUUAAUUAAGCUUUCCCCUCCGGGCACAACCAGCCUGUUUGUGAUAGGUCUCUUUUUGGAGCUGAUAGCGCAAUAAAUGCGGAAUCUGGUGCAAAUUCCAAUGGAAAGAAAAGACAUUGUUAUUUAAAGGCCAAAUAACGGCUUAAAAUUAGAGUUGCGAAGGAUUGAGAAACAGCCGACUGCCCAGAUGGCGCGCAGAUAAUUCACUUUGCACUCAGUCCGUUCACUCGCUAAAAAAAAUACUUUUGACUCUGUUUCUCCUCAGAUUGAAAGUUGCUGCCUGCUUUAAACAUAUGUGCUUCUCUCUUUAAAUUUAGCUCUGAGUCAUGUUGUAUUACAUUAGGAAUUCAGCAGGCAGGCACUUGGAA